ensembl:rRNA 5S_rRNA 5S ribosomal RNA
GUCAGCAGCCAUAUCACCCUGCAACUCACAACUAGCAACCCACUGAAGCUAAGCAGGUGUGAGCCUGGUCAGUACCUGGAUGGGAGACCUCCUGGGAAAAACUAAGGUUGCUGCUGGAA